rnacentral:lncRNA from 1 species
UUUUUCUUUUUUUUCCCUGAGACAGGCUCUUGCUCUGUGGCCCAAGCUGGGGUGCAGUGGCACGAUCAUAGCCGACUGGCUUCAACUUCCUAGAUUCAAGUACUCCUCCCAACUCAGCCCCGCUAGCAGCUGGGCCCACAAGCACAUGCCACUACACCCAGCUAAUUUUCUAUUUUGUUUAUCGUUUGUAAAGACAGGGUCUUAUUAUGUUGCCCAGGUCAUAUCGGGCUCCUGGGCUAAGCAAUUCUCCUGCCUCAGCCUCCCUAAGUGCUGGAAUUACAGGCAUGGCCACCACACCUGGCCACAUAUUUUCAAACUGCAGUUGACCACAGGUAACUAAAACCAUGGAUAAAAUAAAAACUGUAAGCUGAAUAAUUUCCAGAGCUCCCACAAGGCUGGAAUAUAUUUGAGUUCUGGUGACCCGAAUGGUUACACCUCAGUGAUCUCCAGGGCAUGCAGUAGAAAACCCAGAAAUAUCAUGCCCCUAUUGUAAAGCUAAAUUAGGACUACAGAUGACUCCAGGCCGACUCCAACAAAGUUUACAAACAAGCAUGAAAAAGAACAAGCUGAUAAUCAAAUACAUUUGACCCUUGAACAAUACAAGAGUUAAAGGCAUAGCAGUCAAAAACUCCUGUAUAACUUUUGACUCCCCCAAAAUGUCAUUACCAAUAGCCUAUUGUUGACUGGAAGCCUUACCAAUAACAUAAAGUCAACUCAUUUUGUUUAUGUCUUAUAUACUGUGUUGUUACAAGCUACAGAAAAUAUUGAAUGAUACGGAAGAGAAAUUACACCUACAGUACUGUACUGAUACUUCAAGAUGACCGUCUGAAAUGGAGGGCAACUACAGCUUUAGACCUCAAUCUGUAAAGGUACUUUACAAGCAAAUUUAACUUUUUCUUACGUCAUGACUUUUCUCUGCUUCUUGAGCAAUUCCAGCACCACCAGUAACCUCUGUAUGGGUCUCAUGGUGUUAUUCAAGGCUUAUGUUAUUGCACUACACAUAGUGAAAGAUACUUCAGAACGGCAAGAGAUCACUUUUAUUGCCAUAUGCAAUUUACUGGAGAGAUGAACUGCUCACUCAGAGAUAUGAGUACUACAUGGCAUUUUAAAUGAAUACUCACAACACUUAAGCUCACUGCAAUAGCAACAGGAGGUGGCUACAAAAAUAUGACGGCAGCAUAGUAUGUACUGUAAUUUUAUGCAGUUAUAAUUUAAUGCUGCAGUCCCCAACCUUUCUGGCACCAGGGACCAGUUUUGUGGAAGACAGUUUAUCCAUGGACCCCAGGUUGGGUUGGGGAAGAGAGGGGGAUGAAACUGUUCCAUCUCAGAUUAUCAGGCAUUAGAGUCUCAUAAGGAGGCAUAACAUAAGUCCCUCACAUGUACAGUUCACAACAAGUUCCCACUCCUAUGAGAAUCUAAUGCCGCCGCUCAUCUGACAGGUGGUAGAGCUCAGGUGGUAAAAGUCUCUGGUGCUCACCGGUCGCUCACUUCCUGCUGUGUGGCCCCAGUUCCUAACAGGCCACGGGGGGCAGAGGACCCCCGAAUUUUACAUUUGUUUACAUUUCUCUUGACUAUGAAUGGUACCAUGUAUGGUCUGAGUUUGUGAAAGUUUUGAUAAAUUUUAACUUUUUAUAAUAGAUUUGUAUAUAUUUUAUCAUAGUAAAUGAUGAAACAGACUAGUAGCUAUACAUAUUUUAGGCAUUUAUGAUGUACCUUUUUAAAAAUUUAAAAAAUAUUCCUAGGUUAUGUGUUUUUCUAUGAGUAUUUUCAAAUUAAGUCUCAAAAAAUUUUUGUUUAUUGAAAAAAAAAUCUACGUAUAAAUGGACACACACAGUUCAGACUUGUGUAGUUCAAGGGUCAACUGUAAUUGUCUGCCAAGACAAAGUCCAACAGUUUAAGAAAAAAAAUAAACAGAAUUCAGACACUUGAUAAUGUAACAUGACAAUGUAAUAAUGAAAGAGCCAGAAUCCAAUCCAAAUUAAUGCACAU